AUUGAACGCUGGCGGCAGGCUUAACACAUGCAAGUCGAGCGGGGUGAUGGUGCUUGCACUAUCACUUAGCGGCGGACGGGUGAGUAAUGCUUAGGAAUCUGCCUAUUAGUGGGGGACAACAUCUCGAAAGGGAUGCUAAUACCGCAUACGUCCUACGGGAGAAAGCAGGGGAUCACUUGUGACCUUGCGCUAAUAGAUGAGCCUAAGUCGGAUUAGCUAGUUGGGGGGGUAAAGGCCUACCAAGGCGACGAUCUGUAGCGGGGCUGAGAGGAUGAUCCGCCACACUGGGACUGAGACACGGCCCAGACUCCUACGGGAGGCAGCAGUGGGGAAUAUUGGACAAUGGGGGGAACCCUGAUCCAGCCAUGCCGCGUGUGUGAAGAAGGCCUUAUGGUUGUAAAGCACUUUAAGCGAGGAGGAGGCUCUUUUGGUUAAUACCCAAGAUGAGUGGACGUUACUCGCAGAAUAAGCACCGGCUAACUCUGUGCCAGCAGCCGCCGUAA
rnacentral:rRNA from 1 species